GCUGGGCGGGGCGGAGCGAGCCGAGCCAAGCCGCCAUCCCGAGCCGGUCGGGCCUGCGCAGCCGCCGGGGGAGGGGGCGCGCGGCGCCGCUGUGGCCCGCGUGGAAAUGGCGCUUCUCGGGAGGCAUCAGGCGCUUUGAGGUCCAUUGAACCCCUUUCUUCUCUCAGAUGAUUCAUUUACAGUCAACAUGUUGAACUUGAGUCUUUAGGUACUUCUUCAAACACUCUUCUGAAAAAGAGCUUGAUUUCCUGACUCGGGUAAGUUGUAUGCUAGUUUUAUCCAUCUGAGGUAAGUGCUGGUGCUCAAGUUGCCUUUUAAACUUCUCUUUGAGAUGUUAAAUAUGGUAAGUUAUUAGGGAUCUAAACAUUAACUUUGUUGCUAUUGUUCUACAAAGGGCUUCUUUAAACAAUUUUGCUUUUGUAGCCAAUGAUAAAUCUUCUUCACUAUACCACCUCUGAAAUACUAAAUUUAAUUUGAAUGAUGAAAAAGAGAUGAUUUCAGGAAAAAUCAGAUAAAUGCAUUUUAUUUAAACCCACUUAGUGAUAACAAGUUCUUACAACUAACAGGAUAGUAUUUUAGAUUUAGCUUUUUAUCUGAAGUGUAAGCACCAAAUUCUCCAUUUCAGUUCUUCUGUCCUGAUGGUGGGAGUUUUGGGACCUGUUAUUUUUUCACUAAUACGCUGUUUAGGAAUUCAUGCCAGGCAACUUCUUUGGCUGUAUACGACAGUGUUGAACAAUACAAAAGCAUUUGGAAGAACUUGAAUUACAGAAUUAUAUUCUCUCAUCACAUAUUUUGCAACUGUAGGACUCGUUACUUUGUAAUCAUACAAGUUAUGGUUUAUCAUUGGUACUGGUUCAGCAACAUGUUAAUGAAGCCAUAAUUAUCUAGAAUUUCUUCAUGAAUGUGUGGAGGUGAAAUAAGAUUUUUCUCUUUCCUUGCUGAGGACACUGAUGAUACAAUUGUUAAAGGAGGAAUGGUAGUUAAUGGUAGUUUCGCCAUUAGCGCUUGUCAGGGAAGCUCUGCUUGCAUUCUGGCUGUGAUGGGUCAUAUGAUUAAUAAAAGUAGCCAGAGAGUAUCUCAUUUGUAGGUGAAUCUCAACUGACCUUGACAUGUUCUCUACAUUGAGAGCUUUUAUAGAAGUGCAAUGGUAGCACAGAAAUCUUUCCUAUAUCUUAUAGACACUUUGCACCAAUUUAAGUGUUGCAAAGUGACCACAGGUAGAAGGAUGAAUUUCACUUUACCCUGAAACUGAUUCUCGUGUGUACAGCAGUGUACUGAAGUCAGUGAUUUGCACAUUGGCUACAUCAGUAUAAGAGGAGAAUAAAAUCUUCCAGAGUUUUCCAUAUGUCCCCGUAAAGUCUUUCCCAACCUUUAAGUAAGUCUAGUUUUGAUCUGAGUUGUGAGAUAGUGCUAUAUAUGGUCAUCAUGCAAUUCCAGUUGAUGACUCCCAGAACUGGCCUUUUCAUCCUUUUUUUCUUGUGUUGCUAGUGAUGUCAGAAAACGAUGUGCAUACUGUCAGUGGAUAGAAUGCUUAUUUCUUCUGUCAGUUAUUACAUACUGUCUACAUCUGACAGCCCAUAUCUCUAUGUUAUUUUUAGGCAUUAUAUAUUUCUUCCUGUAUUUAUAUUUUGUACAGCACUUAGGCCUAAUUUCUGGAAGAUCAAAUUUGAUUAAUUUCUUAUUUUUCUCUGCAUAAGGCUUUCUCUUUUGUAUUCUCUUUACCACAUCUAAAUAAAAUCCAGAAUUUGCAUUGGUAGGGAUUUUUGAACCAAUUAAGUCCUUUUUAGAAAAAAUUAAAUACAAUUUUAGGAACAGUUCUAUGUAAUAAUCUGAGUUGGACUUUGGUUAUACUGGACAAUUUAUAGACUCUUGCAUGGUACGGAGUCAGUAGAGCUAUGUUAGAUAAUAGAACAUUUAUAACCAUGAGUGUGAUCCUGUACAUACACUCUACUUUUCAUCACAGCUGAUUGCUGUAGGUGAGCUAGUGGUUUCCAGAACUCAGAAAAUACUAAUUCAGAAUACAUUUGAAUAUUUCUGCACCACACAUAAUUAUGCCAUCUAGACAUAUCUGAAGUAUACUUCUAUACAGACUGAUACAGGUAGAUGUGAGUUGCUCCUUUUGUGCUUUGAGCUGGUUGUUGUGAGUCACCUCAGGUCUAGAAGCCAUAUAGCUAUGUUAGUGAGGUAGUCUAUUAAUCAAUGUUCUUCUUUGCUUUGUAGGACUUCCUAUGGCAAAGCACCCAUCAAGCUUGGAUAUGUGGUUCCCUCUGACCAACUCAGAAUGUCACAACUUAGUCACGGAAUAAGAAGGGAGUCUGCAUAGCUUUGGUCAAAAAUAAUCAGAGAACAAAACCUCAAAAAUUUUGGCUGAAAUUUGAUUUUGUGAAUUGCAACUGAAAACAUAAAUAGAGUAAGAAUCUGAUUAUGCAGUCCUCACAAGAGCAAAGUUCCUACUCAUGAUAAUAGUAAAUAUGUGUGGCAAAUGUUAAAAUUCCUGGAAUGAUUAUUUGUGAAACUUCAUGAUAUAUUUUUAAAAGGUAGAGUCUCAGUAUUUUCUUUAACUAUGGCAGACUUUUGUUACUCCAGUUUUGGAAACUGGAGAACUGCUCCCUGGUCCUAUCAACAGUUCAGGCUGAUAAUUAAUUGGAAUAUAUAUUCUUUUUAAUUCUCAGAUGUUAUUGAUGUCUCUUUUAUGUGCCACAAAGCUUUCUAUUAAUAACUUUGGAUUGUUAACCCUUCCCUGAGUCCUAACAUUAACCUUCAGCUCCAAACUUAGGUUAGCUUAAGGCUUUGUGAAAAAAAUGUUUAAAAUUUAUACGGGAACUCUGAAAAAAAUGUCAAAUGUUGAAACUGUAGGGGUUAGUCUAAUGGAUUUUUUUUUCUUUUGAAUUUUCUUUUUUUUUUUUUUUUAAACAAGAGAGAUUUUUGCAUGCUUUUGGUUGUUUUUUUCCAUCCCAUUGAAGUCAUUGUUCUUGACAGUGAAAUGCCACAGUAAAGAACAUUGAUUAAGGAAGUUUUAAGUAGUGAUAAUAAUCUUCCUGUUUAUUGAAGGGAAGGACAGGACAAUGAACAGGAAACUGCUUCAAAUCAAUCCCUACUAAUUUAAACUAUUUAUAGAAUCACUGAUCAAAGCAUGAUUCAUACAAACCUUGGGAGAAUAUAGUGCCAUAACCUGUGUACAUUUAUUUGCAAAUAUUAGGUAGUGUUUUCAUGAUUAGCAAUACCACAUAUCUGUCACCAUUAUUUUAUGUAGUAAUCUUCACAGAAAAACUCAGCCCCAAAUCAAUAAUUUCACAGACUAGGAAAGUAAAAGAGAAUAUAGUUCUUUGAAUUAAAAAUUAAAUUGUGUUAAUAAGUUUGGAAAAAGUAUCUUAUACUUGGCUUCUAAAUAAAUACUACAGAAGUCUCUUGUAAAUCUCUAGUAAUUUUUUGUAAUCAUUUACAAGUUGUAAAAUCAUAGCUGAAAGGCAGACAGAAAAGGAAUGUACAAAUAAGACAUCUGUUAUUGUUAUAUCAAUGAUGAUAUAUAACCAGCUCUGAAGUAAUAACAUUUAACAAGGACUACAGUCUUAUCCAAAAUGAGAUCUUGUCCACUUCCACUUCUUCAUUUAGUGCAUUCAUAAGAAUGAAGUGAAGUUUAUAAUUGGGAAAUCUUAUCUAUUAGCAUUUGUAGUAUAUCACAGUUAUACUACAUUAUGGUUUAGAUUAAUAGAUUUCCAGCCAAGCCAUAUCUUAACAUAUAAGGGUUAGCUGGUAAACCAGCUCCAAGCAAUGUAUGUGUGUACUGCUUAUGAAAAGUAUUCAGAAACACCAUGACUAAGUACAGUAAUACUAUAUUUUACAAGUUCAUCACUGGGAAAUUUAUAUACCAUUAAUGCAUUUUCUAGCCCAUUAAGGACAAGCAGCAUAUAAUGCUCCAUUGAAUACAAGAUUUACAGGUCACAAGCAUGGAAGGCUAUUCCAAUAUAGAUUUUGGGCGUAAAUGUCUUCUAGAGAUAUUGUUAUUGUGUUUAAUUUUAAAACAAAUUCUUACCAACUAAAUAUUAGUGUUUGAUUUAUCAAAGGGUUAAACUUUUAACUUGUUUGAAAUUGAUACAAAACUAUGAAACUGUAAAUAGUGAGACAGCUGGGGAAUGACAGAGCUUUUGUGUGUGUAGUGGGUGAGGAGAGAUGGGGAGAAAAUAUGUAUCAUUUUCUACCUCUUGUCACACUUUUUAGCCAUACAUUAAUAGAAACAAAAAUAAACCAUGAAAAAAA